AUGGCGUCGAGGGCUGUGAUGGUGGCGGUGCUGGUCGCCGCGGUGGCGGCGACGUGCGCGCGGGCGCAGCUGCACGAGAAGUUCUACGGCGAGUCGUGCCCCAGCGUGGAGGACGUCGUGAGGAAGGAGAUGGUGAGGGCGCUGUCACUGGCGCCCAGCCUCGCCGGGCCGCUCCUCCGGAUGCACUUCCACGACUGCUUCGUCAGGGGGUGCGACGGCUCGGUUCUGCUGGACUCGGCCAACAAGACGGCGGAGAAGGACGCGAAGCCGAACCAGACGCUCCGUGGCUUCGACUUCGUCGAGAAGGUGAAGGCCGCCGUGGAGAAGGCCUGCCCUGACACCGUCUCCUGCGCCGACAUACUCGCCCUCAUGGCCAGGGACGCAGUCUGGCUGAGCAAGGGUCCAUUCUGGGAAGUUCCUUUGGGCCGGCGUGACGGCAGCGUGUCCAUCUCCAACGAGACCAACCAGUUGCCACCCCCGACCGCCAACUUCACCGUGCUCACCCAGCUCUUUGCCGCCAAGAACCUCGACUCCAAGGACCUCGUCGUCCUCUCCGCCGGGCACACCAUCGGCACGUCGCACUGCUUCUCCUUCUCCGACCGUCUCUACAACUUCACCGGCAGGGUCAACCCCACCGACAUUGACCCCACACUGGAACCGCAGUACAUGGCGAAGCUGAGGAACAAGUGCACCAGCCUCAACGACAACACCACGCUCGUGGAGAUGGACCCCGGGAGCUUCAGGACCUUCGACCUCGCCUACUUCAAGAACGUCGUCAAGCGGAGGGGCCUCUUCCACUCCGACGGCGCGCUGCUCACCAACGCCUUCACGCGCGCCUACGUCGAGCGCCACGCCGGCGGUGGCUACAAGGAGGAGUUCUUCGCCGACUUCGCCGCCUCCAUGAUCAAGAUGGGCAACGCCGACGUGCUCACCGGGAGCCAGGGCGAGAUCAGGAAGAAGUGCAACGUGCCCAAUCAUUAA
rnacentral:rRNA from 1 species